CUUCUCAGCAGUUGAAUAGAGAAUGCGCUGGGCUAGGAUGCUGAUGAAAGAGACUGAUUAUCUACCAGAAACCAAAACCAUGGGAGUCUAGAUAAGAACAACAACAGUAUAAGUGAGAAGUGAGACGGACAUGGCUCCCAUGAAAACACUGACCAGCAGCUGCCAGAUUUGCCCGCGCUGGUGGGUGAGGAGAGAGGGUCACCUGAAAAAGUGUUGAAAAGGUAUUUCAUCGAAUAAAAUGGGUGAAGAAAAGAAUGAGGGGAGAAAUCCAACGGAAAUCCCCGAGAUCAGCAUACAAAUAAGAAUAUGAAAACACUUGGGGCAAAGCAUUAAAGAUGAGGAAAAAAUACAUAAGGGACACAUCUUCAAGCCAGCUGUACCGGAGAUCAAACUCACGACUGCCUGCUUGCAAGUUGUUCCAGUGCACUGGAAUUUACGGCUGAACUCCUUGAAAUCUCUGAUUCAUGUUCCACAGAACUAUAUGCAUCACAACAUCUUGGAAACAAUACAGGGAUUGGUCCACUGAGACAUGAAGCCAAGGUCAACUCAUGAAGUCUUGAAUAGCCUGAUGCAAAGGAAGCCACUUUUUGAUAGAUGUUUUUAGAGCUGUAAUCCAUCUGCAGGAAAAAAAAAAUAGUGUGAAAUAGGCCAAUAAACAAAUUGUUGGACUCUGGGGAGAGUUAUUAUUAUUAUUUUUUUUUUAUUUAAAGAAAAGGAAACGAAAAAAGAAAAAAAAUACAUGGAGAUAAAAAAAAAGGGUAGAAAUAAUACUAAAUUACAGACAAACAAAAGAAAUAGAAAGUCUUGAAUUCUUCUGAUGGAGGUUUGAGUUCAAUUACUGAUUCUUUGAAGCUAUGGAUCUGUUCACUCACCCUAUAUCCUUGUAGAUAGAGGCCACCUACAAACGAUAACGAAAGACCAAAAAAAGUCCAGUGAGAAUAGGGAAAGAGUAGAAGGUGAAAAAAUUUUGGAGAAGAUGUCAGGAAGAUUUGUUGGGAGAAGAAAGUCCUCGGUCCAAGUAUCUUAUUUUACAAGUGAGGAAACUGAGACUUCAAAAGAGAGGAAAUCAAAUGACUAUCAGCCAAAGAACAGAGUGUCCUGUAUAGAGAAAAGAAAUGGACAUAGACACCUCAGCAAAGACUGUUUUUACCAUCCGUGUCUGUCAGUGCCAGGCCUGACUGCCUCCGUGGCGGAACUGUCCUCCUAGGCCUGUUCCUGAACAGAUCUGAGAAGCCCAGGGUGAGCUCCAUGCAUCACACUUGUUUCUUCCCCCAUCUGAAAAAGAAAAGGUGGAAUGAAAGCAGAGAUAAUCGUCAAGGUAACCUUACCUGGUGGAUGGGGUGGGCUGCUCUGUCCAUGGCUUCCAGCCACCUGAAAGACAGGAAGAUGAAAGGAGACCGGGUGAGUGUGAUCCGGAGGGGCUUACUCUUGCUGAAGCUAUGGGUUAGACAGUCCUGAGACUCAGGUGGACGUCUCUGCUCCAAAUUCUUGAGUGAAGAAUGAUGCAUUCUUGCAAAAUUAGAGUUACUAUGUGGCAAAGCUUCACCUACACCUGGUAUAUUUUUUAAAAAAUUACUGAUGGACACUUGGGCAGCAGAUAAACAGAUAAAGAAGAUGUAGUACUCACCAUGAAGUACUGUUCUCUCAUAAAGAAACACUGGGAUCAUUUGCAGGACAAUGGAUGUGCCUUGAGGCCAUAAUGUUAAAUGGAGUAAAUCAGGCACACAGGCCUAAAGAUCACAGAGAUUCUCUUACAUGAGGAACCCAGAGUAAAAAUGAAGAGCAAAAUGAAAGGCAAUAGAAAGUAAGGGAAUAAAUCUUUCUCAAAGGGGAGGAGAUGAAGCGAUGGAGGGAUGAGGGAUGGAAGAGAUAUGGAAUUUGGAUGCAUUACAUACAUAUACCCACAAAUAAUGUAAAUAUUAUGUAUUAAUAAAGUAAAUAUUAUGUACUAAUAAAGUAAAAAAAUGCUUAUAAAUGUUAUACUUCUCCUUUACUAUAAUUUAAUUACUUUAUUUUACCAAGGUAUAGAAUUUACUAACAUCAGCAGGGCCGAAAACAAUUGCUAUAAGAACUGUAAAGCACUGACCUUAAAAUAUGGAAGUACAGAUUAAUGGUCACUGCCAUGAGUUCUUGCCCUAAGUCACACCGGCUACUUUUCGAAUGCCUUUGGUCCCUUCUUAAAGACUGAAUUUUCUUUAUCUUACCUCAGCCAGGCACCUGCCACCCCAUUCUAUCUUGCCUGUCCUUUUCAGUUUUCUUUUAAAUUCUCUAACUUCCAAUCAAAUCACACCAUUUGCUGUUUGCCCCAAAGCUUGAUUUAUUUCCUCUGCCCCCUUAUGAUCCAUUUCUUCUUUUGUAUGCUUAUCCAAUCUCAUGCUAUGACUCUCAGAAUAACUACCUUGCCCUACAUCCAAAACCCCUGUCUCCUUAUUCUCAAUUCCUGUGUCACUUUGUCUACUCUCUUAAACACAUCUCAACUCUUAUUUUGCACUCAAAACAUCAGAACAAAGGCUUUAUCUUCUUAGAGCAAAGUUUUAUCUUUAAGGUAAGGGUAGCUCUUCAUCAUACUGAUAAUUCAUGAAAACUUUAAGUAUAUUUCAAUUAUACAAAAAUGUUUUGUGCAUGCACUGAAAUACUUUUUGGUGUCAUCGUAUUUCCUUGCUUACCUUUAAAGCAAUAUGCAUUUGAAUACAUUGUUUUCUAUACAUACAGACGGUAUAUUGUUUACCUCAGAACUUUCAGGCCUGUUACAUCUUUGAACAUUGGAGCUGGGUUCAAGUUUUUUGAAAGCAAUAUGCUACAUCUACUAAACACUGGUGACCAAUUACUUUUAUGUCAUUGACUUUCCCCCCACUCAAUCACACUCUCAUUCCAAAUUUGCAGUACUUUCUCUAGUUUCCAACUGACUUGUUGGAUUGACCAGUGAUUCCCAUUCUGUUUGGUAGACACAUUGAGUAAUGGCAGAGGUUGCUAUGGUCAAAGUUCAUAGCCCACUGUCUUAGGAUGCAUGCAUAUUUUUUCCUCUUCACUUGGGCUAUGUGCUCACAAAGUGUCAACUGAAUUCAUUUCCCUUCAAAGCUUCUCUCCCUGCCACUCACCCCUCACUCUGGUGAACUAAGUUGCAAUCUUGCUACAAUAUUUUUAUACCAAAGACUAUCUGUCAAAUUAUCCUAAAAUAUGUAAAUCUGGCAAGGGGACAUUACAUGUGUACUAUAGCAGUGUUGAGCAUUUUUAGAAAACAUGGAAAUAAAGCUAUUGAGUUAGAAGAAUAAACUUGUAUUUUUAAAAAUUCAGUUCGAAAAAAAAACCUUAAAGGAAUAAUGAAGAACCAAAUUCUACCUAAGGAAAAAACCAAUUUAUUGGCUCGUAUAACAAAUCUGCCAUUUCCUUUCCUGCCUCUAACCCCAAGAAUCUGCAAGACUGUUGCUAAAGAAGCAUUCACCCACUCAGAAUGAAACUGGCGAGGUAAAAGAUUAAUGAAUUAUCAUAGUGAAACUGGUAAGGUAAAAGAUUAAUGAAUUACCUUUUCAUUUCUUGGUUUGAGGUUGCACAUAGGCAAAAAUUUCUAUUUCCAGACUGAGGGACACAGUUGAAUACAAAUGGUUUUCCAAAGCUGCUAUCAACAGAAACUUCAGCACCUUCUAAUUUUAUUGCUUCUAGUGGUGGUAAUUUUCCUUCAUCCUGUAAUUGAUAAGGAAGAUUUUCAGUAACUAAGCAGCUAAAUGAGAAAAUAAGAGAAGAAAAAAGAAUUUAAGUGAUUAUUUUUUGGUACAAUAUAACAUUAAGUCAAAAAGGUUUGGUGGAUUACAUUCUCCUUACAUUUUCCAUGAACUACAAGUGUUUUUUCCAUCUGUAGUAUUUUUCCACGUCACCACGAUAACCUAAUUGUUAUAUAUUUCAUUUAUGCCAACUUAGAAAGGUAUCAUUGGUUAUAGUUUUAAGUGUCAUUGAUUAUUAAUACUCACUUUUCCCAUCAGAAAAAAAGAACAUUGAAAGAAACUGAUACCACAAAACUUACAUGUUUGAAAGUGGAACAAGAUCUUUAGUUAGUACUUGUAUUCAUCCUGUGUUUCAUGUUUUUUGUAUGCCAGGACCUCUUCUAAAUCCUUUGCAUCUAUUAAGGGAUACUCAUGAGCUCUGCCAAAUUCUCUCAUGUCAGUGCUGAGAAAAAUGACAAUUUCUUCAAGACUGGAUUUCCUGCAGAUUUGCAUUCUCCUGUCCAUGCUGGCAUGAAGUACAGAGCACAAGAGGGUGCUGCAGGCAGAAAGGGCUUUUCCUGACUCCUGUGGAUGCUCAAAGGGAGCCUGGAGCACACUGCACCGUCCACGUCCACAUUCUUCAGCCCCGUGGUGUCUCCCGCAGUGCUAAGCACUUGCAGUCACCCCAGCAUUUUCUCUCUCUCAGUUUGGGCAUUGGUGGCAUAGUGAGUAGGGAGCCAAAAAGUGUAGACCUGUCCUGUAGCCCCAAUUUCUGCUGUGUGUACCCUUUCCUCUACUCUGGGAGAUUGGAUAUACCGGAAGCUGGCCUUCCUAACUUAAGAGAUGCUCAACAUAUACAAAGUUAUUGAUGAGGGAGGUUUCUCCUAGUUCCAGUAGCACCCACCAUAGUCUCCCAAUACCCCCUAGUGCACCUGACUUCCUCUGCAUGCUCAGGCAUCAGGCUCAGCCCUCCUCUACCCUUGGUGUGCUUGGAGCCUGACCGGACGCAGACAAUACACUCUCCGGCAAACUCUUCUUUGUCUAAGCUCAAGAAAUCUGAACACCUCAGAACGUUUGAAAAAAAUACUUUUACCAGCAUAGUGAUAAAAAUAGCUUGGAUUCUGAAUGUUGUUUAGCUCUUCCUCAAAGAACGAUUCAAAUGGCAGCAGAAUUACUGUUUAGCCCUGAUACUUUUUCAUGUCUUGAAAGAUUUGUCUUGAUACUCCUUUGUUGAUUUUGGCAAGGAAAUAAAACAGUCUAUUAUGAAGGUCACAUUAUCUGCAGUCUACAAACGAGGAAAUGAGGCAAGCAAAGUUAAAUAAUUUGACCAGGAAAAUGCACCUAAUAGGUGGUAAAGUCAGGAUGUGAACCAAAGUUUAUCUAACCACAACAUUAAACUGUCUCCACUAAAUGAGAUUUAUUUCAUGAAGGCCAAAUGUACUGAAUGCCACACUCGCAUUAAUCUUGUGGUUCAAGGAUGCCAUUACCUCGAUUUUACGGUGGGAGAAAAAAGCUUGGAGAACUCUUUGGACCCCCCACCCCAGGUCUGCUCAGCCAGAAGCAGGAUUGGGACCUGGCUCCUUACCACCUGGAGCUGGUGUUCUUCAUCUUUUCUUAGGCAGACUAUUUUAUCUGCAGCUUACUGACUUGUGUAAGUAUCAGCUCCAUCUGAGCAGAUUUCUGUGUUUUCCUCAUAGAGUAGCAAGGACGGAGCUGGGUUCUGAGAAAAUGCAUUACUAAACUCUCAUCAAUCAAAUAGACAAUGGCCAAUGGGUGUAAUCCUGAUAUUUAUCAUGAAAAUUUCUUCUGGAUUAAGUCUCUGGUUGGUGUCUCGCUGGGCUUCUUAGCAAUAGUACAUGUUACCUGCUAUGGAAGUCAGUUUUGUUAAUUCUAUUUUCAAUAUUUUCUCCAUCUUCCUGGAGUUUGGUGAAGUGUACUUCUCUAGUACUUCUGGCCUUCUUAUCAUCACGGCUGUACUAAUACAGAAGACUGGCCUUCAAGGUCAGACUGUGCAGGGCAGACACUGAUGAUGGACCCAGCCAAGAGGAGGCCUAAUUUUAUUAGGUUGCAUGAAGAGAUGGAAAAAGGUCCUCUAAUUGCUGACUCCACCAAGACUUGGAGGGUAUAGGUAAAUUUAAUUUGCUCUGCUCUACAGUUACAUAGAAGCAGAAGAAUUGAAUGGGUACUAAUUUUCCCUUCAUUGGAAAAACAUUUUGACUCUCAAAGCUAAGUGGCAUUUUCUUAUAAAACAGUUUAACUCAAUAAGCUCUACUUUUAUUCUGUUGAUAUAAAAUUUAAAGAAAUAGAUCCAACUCUAGCCUUGUAGUUGAGAAACAAUAUUCUUUGGGAUGGUAGACCUUAAUUUAUUAAAAAUAUGAUUAUGUAAGAA